CAGUUGGGGCGGGACAGAAAUGUUUGACCAUUUUCUGGAGCACGGCGCUUGCGACUCUGCGGCUCGGAGGAGGAAAAGGAAAGGGCAUAGAAAUUAUUACAAGGAAAUGAAAUGCAUCUAAAUGAAAUAGCGUGUUCAUUUCCUGCUGGGUGGGGAGAUAAACCAUUCAGAAAAUGAUCUUUGGCUUUCCUGGGAGCAAAUUCAUGUAUUGGAUCAGGGACAUUCAGGACUAUGUGUGGCUGCCAUACAAAACUGAAGGGGAAAGCCCACCUCUCCCUGCCCGUUGUGUUCUC